rnacentral:rRNA from 1 species
UACAGAGGUCUCGAGCGUUAUGCGGAAUCACUGGGCUUAAAGCGUGUGUAGGCGGACUGGUAAGUACCUUGUGAAAUCCCACGGCUCAACCGUGGAACUGCUUGGUAUACUGCUUGUCUUGUGCAACCUAGGGGCGAGCGGAACAGAUGGUGGAGCGGUGAAAUGCGUAGAUAUCAUCUGGAACGCCAAUGGUGAAAACAGCUCGCUGGGGGUUUGCAGACGCUGAGACACGAAAGCCAGGGGAGCAAACGGG